CAUGACCGAGCGACGCCGCGUGUGGGAUGAAGGCCUUCGGGUUGUAAACCACUGUCGUGGGGGAGAAAAGCCCCGCAAGGGGUCUGACCUAUCUUCAGUAAGGACGGGCUAAGUUCGUGCCAGCAGCCGCGGUAAUACGAACCGUCCAAACGUUAUUCGGAUUUAUUGGGCUUAAAGGGUAUGUAGGCGGCCCUUCAAGUCGGGUGUGAAAGCCCUCGGCUCAACCGAGGAACUGCGCCCGAUACUGUGGGGCUCGAGGGAGACAGAGGUAAGCGGAACUGAUGGUGGAGCGGUGAAAUGCGUUGAUAUCAUCAGGAACACCAGUGGCGAAAGCGGCUUACUGGGUCUCUUCUGACGCUGAGAUACGAAAGCUAGGGGAGCGAACGGGAUUAGAUACCCCGGUAGUCCUAGCUGUAAACGAUGAGCACUUGAUCGAGGGGCCCCCCAUAGCCUCUCGGUCGUAGCGAAAGUGAUAAGUGCUCCGCCUGGGGAGUAUGGUCGCAAGGCUG
rnacentral:rRNA from 1 species